rnacentral:rRNA from 1 species
GAUGAACGCUGGCGGCGUGCCUAAUACAUGCAAGUCGAGCGAACGGACGAGAAGCUUGCUUCUCUGAUGUUAGCGGCGGACGGGUGAGUAACACGUGGAUAACCUACCUAUAAGACUGGGAUAACUUCGGGAAACCGUAGCUAAUACCGGAUAAUAUUUUGAACCGCAUGGUUCAAAAGUGAAAGACGGUCUUGCUGUCACUUAUAGAUGGAUCCGCGCUGCAUUAGCUAGUUGGUAAGGUAACGGCUUACCAAGGCAACGAUGCAUAGCCGACCUGAGAGGGUGAUCGGCCACACUGGAACUGAGACACGGUCCAGACUCCUACGGGAGGCAGCAGUAGGGAAUCUUCCGCAAUGGGCGAAAGCCUGACGGAGCAACGCCGCGUGAGUGAUGAAGGUCUUCGGAUCGUAAAACUCUGUUAUUAGGGAAGAACAAAUGUGUAAGUAACUAUGCACGUCUUGACGGUACCUAAUCAGAAAGCCACGGCUAACUACGUG